rnacentral:misc_RNA from 1 species
CAGAUAGUCAACAAAUAUGAACCCUGCUCCUCGCCACUCAGCCUGGAGAAAUCACGACCCAAUCAGGAAGUUCUUCUCCAAGAUCAAUUUAGAGCUCGUUUAUUGAAUUCCCUGGAAGUGGUUGAUGAGUAUGGGGAAGGGAUUCAAUUGCCUCUAACCUCAAGAGGUGAUGGCAACUUUUUAGUAACAGUCGGUUUUGGCACCCCUCAACGUUAUUUUACCUUGCUUUUUGACACAGGAAGCGAUGCCACUUGGAUUCAAUGCGAGCCUUGUUAUGCGGGUUGCAAUCACCAGAUCCCCAUUUUUGAUCCCUCCUCUUCUUCUUCUUUUUCAAAUGCCAUUUGCAAUAUUACUUGUGACUACUCCAUGAAGUAUCAUGAUGGGACAUAUUCUAGUGGUUAUUAUGUUGUUGAUACCCUUACCACGCAAUCUGAUCUACAUCCUAACUUCAUCUUUGGUUGUGCUCAGAAAAUUCAUGGAGAUUUUGGUGGAGCAGUUGGGUUGCUCGGCGUUGGUCCUGG